ACUGCUCCCCGCGGGCCAGAGCCGGCCGAGCUGCUGCCCGCCGGGGCUCUGAACGGCGCGGCGGGGCCGGGAGCCAGGGACCGGCCGAGGAGAGUGGCGGCCCCGGACGGCUGCCGGAGGGGCGGCCGCGCGUGGAUGCGGCGGGAGCUGGAAGCCUCAAGCAGCCGGCGCCGUCUCUGCCCCCGGGCGCCCUAUGGCUUGAAGUGCAGGCGACGGUGGCGGCAGUAGCGGAGGGUGACCGCCCGGCUCUCGGCCCGGCUCUAUGAUGGACCGAGAGCCCCUCUAGGGUGGUAUGCGGAGACAAGAGACACCUCUAAGCACCAGACAGAGCGCUUCCCUAUCCCUGUCUGAGGCGGGCAGCCCUUGAGUGCUUCCUCUUGAAGAGCAGAGAGCCUGGCCACCCAGUGGCUCCACCGCCCUGAUGGAUCCACUGAAUCUGUCCU
rnacentral:lncRNA from 1 species